ensembl:snRNA U6 U6 spliceosomal RNA
GUGCUUGCUUUGGCAGCACAUAUACUAAAAUUGGAAUGAUAACAGAGAUUAGCCUGGCCCCAGCCCAAGGAUAACACCCAAAUUCAUGAAGCGUUUCAUAUUUUU